GGGACUGAGACACGGCCCAGACUCCUACGGGAGGCAGCAGUGGGAAUAUUGCACAAUGGGCGAAAGCCUGAUGCAGCAACGCCGCGUGAGGGAUGACGGCCUUCGGGUUGUAAACCUCUUUUAGCAGGGAAGAAGCGAAAGUGACGGUACCUGCAGAAAAAGCGCCGGCUAACUACGUGCCAGCAGCCGCGGUAAUACGUAGGGCGCAAGCGUUAUCCGGAAUUAUUGGGCGUAAAGAGCUCGUAGGCGGUUUGUCGCGUCUGCUGUGAAAUCCCGAGGCUCAACCUCGGGCCUGCAGUGGGUACGGGCAGACUAGAGUGCGGUAGGGGAGAUUGGAAUUCCUGGUGUAGCGGUGGAAUGCGCAGAUAUCAGGAGGAACACCGAUGGCGAAGGCAGAUCUCUGGGCCGUAACUGACGCUGAGGAGCGAAAGGGUGGGGAGCAAACAGGCUUAGAUACCCUGGUAGUCCACCCCGUAAACGUUGGGAACUAGUUGUGGGGUCCAUUCCACGGAUUCCGUGACGCAGCUAACGCAUUAAGUUCCCCGCCUGGGGAGUACGGCCGCAAGGCUAAAACUCAAAGGAAUUGACGGGGACCCGCACAAGCGGCGGAGCAUGCGGAUUAAUUCGAUGCAACGCGAAGAACCUUACCAAGGCUUGACAUAUACGAGAACGGGCCAGAAAUGGUCAACUCUUUGGACACUCGUAAACAGGUGGUGCAUGGUUGUCGUCAGCUCGUGUCGUGAGAUGUUGGGUUAAGUCCCGCAACGAGCGCAACCCUCGUUCUAUGUUGCCAGCACGUAAUGGUGGGAACUCAUGGGAUACUGCCGGGGUCAACUCGGAGGAAGGUGGGGAUGACGUCAAAUCAUCAUGCCCCUUAUGUCUUGGGCUUCACGCAUGCUACAAUGGCCGGUACAAAGGGCUGCAAUACCGUGAGGUGGAGCGAAUCCCAAAAAGCCGGUCCCAGUUCGGAUUGAGGUCUGCAACUCGACCUCAUGAAGUCGGAGUCGCUAGUAAUCGCAGAUCAGCAACGCUGCGGUGAAUACGUUCCCGGGUCUUGUACACACCGCCCGUCAAGUCAUGAAAGUCGGUAACACCUGAAGCCGGUGGCCUAACCCUUGUGGAGGGAGCCGUCGAAG
rnacentral:rRNA from 1 species